GAUGAACGCUGGCGGCGUGCCUAAUACAUGCAAGUCGAGCGAAUGGAUUAAGAGCUUGCUCUUAUGAAGUUAGCGGCGGACGGGUGAGUAACACGUGGGUAACCUGCUCAUAAGACUGGGAUAACUCCGGGAAACCGGGGCUAAUACCGGAUAACAUUUUGAACCGCAUGGUUCGAAAUUGAAAGGCGGCUUCGGCUGUCACUUAUGGAUGGACCCGCGUCGCAUUAGCUAGUUGGUGAGGUAACGGCUCACCAAGGCAACGAUGCGUAGCCGACAUGAGAGGGUGGUCGGCCACACUGGGACUGGGACCCGGCCCAGACUCCUACGGGAGGCAGCAGUAGGGAAUCUUCCGCAAUGGACGAAAGUCUGACGGAGCAACGCCGCGUGAGUGAUGAAGGCUUUCGGGUCGUAAAACUCUGUUGUUAGGGAAGAACAAGUGCUAGUUGAAUAAGCUGACACCUUGACGGUACCUAACCAGAAAGCCACGGCUAACUACGUGCCAGCCGCCGCCGUAA
rnacentral:rRNA from 1 species